GGCUGGGGAGGGACCAACUGUGAACUGAACCAUGAUGACUGCGGGUCCUCCCCCUGUGUACACGGAGCCUGUCAGGAUGACGUGGCGAGCUACACCUGUUGCUGUGAAAGCGGCUGGGAAGGGACAAACUGUGAUCAAGAUAUCGACGAGUGCGCUAGCAGUCCAUGUUUGCUGGGAGGGACCUGCCUGGAUCACGUGGCCGGCUACAGCUGUGUCUGUCCUAAAGAUGCCACCGGGAAGCACUGUG